AAUAAAUAUGUAUCUUCUACAUGCACUUGUGUCUAUUUAUAGCUUGACUAGGUUUUGGUUCAUAAUGUGUAGACUAUCUACAUGUUGUAAAAAUGCUUUCUGGUUAUCUAAUGAAGUUUUUGCUAUGUGUGAUGAUUCAACUGGAGUCUCUUAUACAAAUAUAUGAUAGGAUGAAUGAUUUUGUUAAUCCUGUCUGGUUGGAUUGAAUGAUUUUAACCCACGGCCACCAGCUCUCCUUCCCUCCCGAGCCACCACUCCACACCAAGUGACAGAGGGCCAUCUCCUCGAUUUGGGUUUGUUGAGGAGCUUCUUGUAGGUGAACCAGCUCAGUUAGUGAUGUGGACCAAUAUGCAAUUCUCUUGAUCAUUUCUUUAGCUUCCUCCUCCCACUCUUCUCUUUGAGACAAAAGGCUGAGGGCGUGGGGUUGACAUGCAUGAUUGUGCUUGUUUAAACAAUUUGAUACUGGACUUUACUGAGAUCUUGAGAUUGCACGACUAUGAGUUCAUUCUACACUUGAAGAAAAUUUAUGCCAUUUCACUAUCUCAUUUCAUUUGAGAGCAUAUGUUUUUCAUUUACUUUCGUGGUCCUAUGCUAGGCAUGCUGCAUGUACGAAGUCUGCUUUUUGUGCAUGUCAUGCCAAAUGACUGGUUAAUUUAUUGAUGCGAACUGGAAGCAUUAUCUAUGGAGAGGACUUGGGAUACAGAAACUCACUUUUAAUUUCCAUUCAUAGGGACCUUAACAAUUGGUAGAUUGAUGUUUGCAUGUCUAUGGCAGUGGUAUUAAAUUAGAUCAAAUGGUUGCAGUAGUAUUAAAUGGAUCAAAUGGUUGCAGUGGUAUUUAAAUGAAACAUGUUUGAUAUAAAUACUAAAUUGCAAUUUAUAUAUAAUUUGGAUGUGUAUUAUAAUUUUUAUUUAUUCUGUUUUGUGCAUUCUUUUUUUAUUUUCUGAAACAUCAUUUCCGAAGAGUAAAAUUUGCCGGAAAUAAAUUUUUACGCAUAUAAGCUUUAGUCGCCGCAAAUACUAUUUUGCAGCGCCAAUUAGUCGCUGGAAAUUUAAUUAUAACGCUCAUUGAAAAUUGCUGUAAAGAUCAUUAAAUGGGAAUGCCUUUUCCAGCAUUUUAUGAAUAAUUCCAGCAUUCUAAUGGUCGAUUGUAAUUGAUUUCAUGGCAUGACCAUUCAUGAAUUUCUUGUAUCACUAGAACAUCACUCCUAGGCAUUGCUCUUGCAUAUGACCCGUGUACUUGCGCAUUUGCAUAUUUCUAUGAUUAAUAAAAUCUUAUUUACCGAUCAAAAAAUAAUUCUUCACAAUUCACCAAUCAUCAAACAACACCAGCUACGGUUUGGCUAAAAUCUGAUUUGGCCCAUUAAGAGCUAAGUGAUCUUUUCACUCCUAUUCAUUUUACAACUCACUUGGAAGUUUGAUUAUGUUCCAAGCUGCAGAGAUCAACAUCUCAGCAGCACUAGACUUAAUUCUUGCAGUAGCAGUUAGCUGUUCUUUGAUGAAAAAUGUUACUUUGUCCACUUAGUUUGCUCCCUUAUU